AUUGAACGCUGGCGGCAGGCCUAACACAUGCAAGUCGAACGAGUGGCGGACGGGUGAGUAAUGUCUGGGAAACUGCCCGAUGGCGGGGGAUAACUACUGGAAACGGUAGCUAAUACCGCAUACCAUCGGAUGUGCCCCUAUGGGAUUAGCUAGUAGGUGGGGUAACUGCUCACCUAGGCGACGAUCCCUAGCUGGUCUGAGAGGAUGACCAGCCAAACUGGAACUGAGCCCAGGUCCAGACUCCUACGGGAGGCAGCAGUGGGGAAUAUUGCACAAUGGGCGCAAGCCUGAUGCAGCCAUGCCGCGUGUAUGAAGAAGUCCGUCGGGUUGUAAAGUACUUUCAGCGGGGAGGCGUUACCCGCAGAAGAAGCACCGGCUAACUCCGUGCCAGCAGCCGCGGUAAUAC
rnacentral:rRNA from 1 species